AUAUAUUUCUUAAAAUCUGUUAGUUUUGGUGUUAAUUGAAGCAUCAAUCUGUAGAAAAAAUGCCACACAGUUUCUGUGCAACUAAUACUGACAGAGUUCUCAUCUGGGACCUUUCCAAUUUCUGAUUGGGUUUUAUUUUUUAGUUUCUCCAUGAUAGUCUUAAAAGUUGAACCGAAUGAUGUGCAAUUUCAGUUUUAAUAAUUCAUUUCUUUGAAGCAUUUCUGGACAUUUUUCUUAUGUGUAUGAAUGAUAUGUAGAUUUUUGGAUGGCCAUUGCUGUUGUAUCUUUAACAUUCAAUUGAAUUUAUUUUGCAACUUGAUAAUAUUGGCAGUGAUGUGAUGCAGUCCCACUUUAUUCAUUUUUGUAAUAUGUGCAGGCUUGUCAAUGUUCAUAAUUGCUAGCAUGUUUGAUGAUCUUUGAUUUAGUGUUUGGAUGGUCUGAUACAUUGGUUUUUCGUCUGCCCAAAAUAGCAUUUGGAUGUCUGCACUCUGCAGUAUGCAUUAUGAUCUUUCUUUCUUCUUCUUCUUCUUUUCUUUUUUUUUUUUUCUUUUUUUUUUUUGUUUUUUGUUUUUUGUUUUUUGGUUUCUUUUAAGAACUUCCCAUCCCACUUAGAAAUUUUAGAAAGUGUUUGUAUAAAAAUGUUGUUUUAACCCUGCUGUCCAUAUGUGCUAUGAGUGAUGCAGUAGAAACAGAUAUGGAGUUGUUGGUGAGAAAUGAACAUUCAUCAUGGCCUGAGGUUAAACAGGAAAAUGCUUUGUUAUGGCUAACAGUAUCAGAAAUCUCCAUUUCGCGCAUUGCAAAUGCAAACAGAAUCCAGACUGUCCAAAUCAUCUGACCAUGAAGCCAGAUAUCCAUGGUGGGACAAAUCAUGACACAACAAAGGUGCCACCAUAUCACAUAGUGAUGAGUUGGAGAAACAUAACGAUUAUUUUAUGGGUGUGGUUAUUUAUCACCUUUCAGCAUAUAAGGAAAUGGCAACAAAUUAUACAUUUGCUAAAGCUCAAGAUCACAUAAUUCCUCAAUAUAGAGUUCAUAGGUGUGGAAUCAUCAUACAAUGCAUUUUCUGUAUGUAGCAGGUUCUCCAUUCGUCCAGGCCUAGAAAACCUUUGUGGUCAUGUAAUGCGGCAGAUCCGCGAAAGGAAAAAAGUUGCUACAAAAUCUAAGCAGAUCACAGCUCCUAGCAAAUUCAGUAGAGUAGUGGGAGUUGGCAAAGAAACUGCUGCAACGAAUAUAAGUCGGAAUCAGAAAGCUUCAAAGCAAGAGAUACAAGUAAAGGACAGCGACAAAUUAACUGAUGUAAAAGAGAGCUUAGCUUUCAAGUUUGACACAUAUUAAAGAGCUUAGCAUUUUACUACAGGCUCGUGGAUACAAUUAAUUGCUCAAUUGGUCAAGAUCCAAACUCAAAAGUCUCUGAUUGUCCUUGACAUCUAUGGUUUCAAAAGCUUUAAGACCAACAGAUAACCCAUUCAAAAGCAAAACAAUUAAUCCAAUGCUUAAAACACCACUUCUGCCUGUCUCUUUUUUAUUUUUAAUAACCAUAAUUGUGCUAGUUAAUUUUCAAUGUUUCAUACCAUGCAAUUUUGGGCAGUUCUGUAUUAACUUCACAAAUGAGAAACUGCAACAACAUUUCCACCACGUAAGGCAUCAUUUUGUACCAUAUAUGUGCAGGUCACAAUUAACUUUUUUUUGUUACAUAUAAUAUGUAUGUAUUCUGUACUUUUUCAGCAUGUGUUUAAGAUGGAGCAGGAAGAGUACAAAAAAAAAAAAGAGGAAAUUGAUUGGGAGCAACAUAGAGUUUGUUGAUAACCGAGACAUCUUAGAUCCUUAUUGAAAAGUUUCUAAUAGUUGCUAUUUUGAAAAACAUAGUCUCGUUUAUUGUAAAAAUAUCAUUGUAGUUUAAUAUUGAACUAGAAAAAUAUUUUGAUAACUCAAACUUUUAUUCCCACAUUAUUUUGGCCUAAGAAAGAAUUUGUCUUAUCUUUUUGGCUGCACUAAUUUUUCUAAACUGCAUUUUCUAGGAAAAUUGCUAAAUUACUCAGGAUUAACUUUAUUCAUUCAUGAGCCCUUUUUGAUAAUUCCAUAACAUGAUAUGACUCUGAAUUGCUCUUCUUUUUUCUUUUUUACUUUUUUCCUUUUUCAUCUUCAAUCAAAUUAAGAAGUCACUCUGGUUAGGCUGUGUUUUAAACAGCUUGACCAUUGAAUUUUUUACACUAGUUUUCUAGGUAGCCAGCCUGUUUCAAAGAGUGGCAACUGCACUGAUUCAUAGGCCUAAGUUGAAAGUGUGGAGAUCAUAUUUUUGGAAUUUGGUUUUUGGUGUGCCCAAUCGGCAAGUGUAGUUUUAAGUGACAAGAUGAUUGCUGAUGCUAUCAUGAUCUAAUUACUGCAGCUACAAUUACAAUCCUUAAUGGAAACACUGAAUGCAACAGAGCCUCAUUACGCAAGAUGUCUGAAGCCAAACAAUGUU